rnacentral:rRNA from 1 species
GCCUUUACACAUGCAAGUCGAACGGCAGCAUGAUCUAGCUUGCUAGAUUGAUGGCGAGUGGCGAACGGGUGAGUAAUACAUCGGAACGUGCCCUGUAGUGGGGGAUAACUAGUCGAAAGAUUAGCUAAUACCGCAUACGACCUGAGAGUGAAAGUGGGGGACCGCAAGGCCUCAUGCUAUAGGAGCGGCCGAUGUCUGAUUAGCUAGUUGGUGGGGUAAAGGCCCACCAAGGCGACGAUCAGUAGCUGGUCUGAGAGGACGAUCAGCCACACUGGGACUGAGACACGGCCCAGACUCCUACGGGAGGCAGCAGUGGGGAAUUUUGGACAAUGGGCGAAAGCCUGAUCCAGCAAUGCCGCGUGUGUGAAGAAGGCCUUCGGGUUGUAAAGCACUUUUGUCCGGAAGGAAAUGGCUCUGGUUAAUACCUGGGAUCGAUGACGGUACCGGAAGAAUAAGGACCGGCUAACUACGUGCCAGCAGCCGCGGUAAUACGUAGGGUCCAAGCGUUAAUCGGAAUUACUGGGCGUAAAGCGUGCGCAGGCGGUUGUGCAAGACCGAUGUGAAAUCCCCGAGCUUAACUUGGGAAUUGCAUUGGUGACUGCACGGCUAGAGUGUGUCAGAGGGGGGU